rnacentral:misc_RNA from 1 species
AACGCACAUUGCGCCCCUCAGGUAUUCCGUGGCGGGCACUGCCUGUUCGAGCGUCAUUACAACUCUCAGGCCCCCGGGCCUGGCGUUGGGGAUCGGCGGAGCCCCCCGUGGGCACACGCCGUCCCCCAAAUACAGUGGCGGUCCCGCCGCAGCUUCCAUCGCGUAGUAGCUAACACCUCGCGACUGGAGAGCGGCGCGGCCACGCCGUAAAACACCCCAACUCUUCUGAAGUUGACCUCGGAUCAGGUAGGAAUACCCGCUGAACUUAA